rnacentral:rRNA from 1 species
AACGAACGCUGGCGGCAUGCCUAACACAUGCAAGUCGAACGAGACCUUCGGGUCUAGUGGCGCACGGGUGCGUAACGCGUGGGAACCUGCCCUUAGGUUCGGAAUAACUCCCCGAAAGGGGUGCUAAUACCGGAUAAUGUCUUCGGACCAAAGAUUUAUCGCCUUUGGUUGGGCCCGCGUUGGAUUAGCUAGUUGGUAGGGUAAAAGCCUACCAAGGCGACGAUCCAUAGCUGGUCUGAGAGGAUGAUCAGCCACACUGAAACUGAGACACGGCCCAGACUCCUACGGGAGGCAGCAGUGGGGAAUAUUGGACAAUGGGCGAAAGCCUGAUCCAGCAAUGCCGCGUGAGUGAUGAAGGCCUUAGGGUUGUAAAGCUCUUUUACCCGGGAUGAUAAUGACAGUACCGGGAGAAUAAGCCCCGGCUAACUCCGUG